rnacentral:rRNA from 1 species
AGGCGAAAAGAACCCCGGCGAGGGGAGUGAAAAAGAACCUGAAACCGUGUACGUACAAGCAGUGGGAGCACAGGUUUACCUGUGUGACUGCGUACCUUUUGUAUAAUGGGUCAGCGACUUAUAUUCUGUAGCAAGGUUAACCGUAUAGGGGAGCCGUAGGGAAACCGAGUCUUAACCGGGCGUUAAGUUGCAGGGUAUAGACCCGAAACCCGGUGAUCUAGCCAUGGGCAGGUUGAAGGUUGGGUAACACUAACUGGAGGACCGAACCGACUAAUGUUGAAAAAUUAGCGGAUGACCUGUGGCUGGGGGUGAAAGGCCAAUCAAACCGGGAGAUAGCUGGUUCUCCCCGAAAGCUAUUUAGGUAGCGCCUCGUGAAUUCAUCUCCGGGGGUAGAGCACUGUUUCGGCUAGGGGGCCAUCCCGGCUUACCAACCCGAUGCAAACUGCGAAUACCGGAGAAUGUUAUCACGGGAGACACACGGCGGGUGCUAACGUCCGUCGUGAAGAGGGAAACAACCCAGACCGCCAGCUAAGGUCCCAAAGUCAUGGUUAAGUGGGAAACGAUGUGGGAAGGCCCAGACAGCCAGGAUGUUGGCUUAGAAGCAGCCAUCAUUUAAAGAAAGCGUAAUAGCUCACUGGUCGAGUCGGCCUGCGCGGAAGAUGUAACGGGGCUAAACCAUGCACCGAAGCUGCGGCAGCGAACGUAUCACCCAAGACAACUUUACGGAGUUGACGAUUGACGGAGCGAAGCGACGUCAAAGCGUUCAUUAAAGUCGAGUUGGCUUAGGGAUACGUUCGUUGGGUAGGGGAGCGUUCUGUAAGCCUGUGAAGGUGUGUCGUGAGGCAUGCUGGAGGUAUCAGAAGUGCGAAUGCUGACAUAAGUAACGAUAAAGCGGGUGAAAAGCCCGCUCGCCGGAAGACCAAGGGUUCCUGUCCAACGUUAAUCGGGGCAGGGUGAGUCGACCCCUAAGGCGAGGCCGAAAGGCGUAGUCGAUGGGAAACGGGUUAAUAUUCCCGUACUUGGUGUUACUGCGAAGGGGGGACGGAGAAGGCUAUGUUGGCCGGGCGACGGUUGUCCCGGUUUAAGCGUGUAGGUGUGUGUUCCAGGUAAAUCCGGUUCACUUUAACACUGAGGCGUGACGACGAGGCACUACGGUGCUGAAGCAACAAAUGCCCUGCUUCCAGGAAAAGCCUCUAAGCAUCAGGUAACAC